GGACAGUACUGACGCUGAGAUGCGAAAGCGUGGGAGCAAACAGGAUUAGAUACCUGGUAGUCCACGCUGUAAACGAUGUCGAUUUGGAGUUUGUUGCCUAGAGUGAUGGGCUCCGAAGCUAACGCGAUAAAUCGACCGCUGGGGAGUACGGCCGCAAGGUUAAAACUCAAAUGAAUUGACGGGGGCCCGCACAAGCGGUGGAGCAUGUGGUUUAAUUCGAUGCAACGCGAAGAACCUUACCUGGUCUUGACAUCCAUAGAAUUCUGCAGAGAUGUGGGAGUGCCUUCGGGAACCAUGAGACAGGUGCUGCAUGGCUGUCGUCAGCUCGUGUUGUGAAAUGUUGGGUUAAGUCCCGCAACGAGCGCAACCCUUAUUCUUUGUUGCCAGCGAUUUGGUCGGGAACUCAAAGGAGACUGCCGUUGAUAAAGCGGAGGAAGGUGGGGACGACGUCAAGUCAUCAUGGCCCUUACGACCAGGGCUACACACGUGCUACAAUGGCGUAUACAAAGGGAAGCGAAGGUGCGAGCUGGAGCGGAUCUCAUAAAGUACGUCUAAGUUCGGAUUGGAGUCUGCAACUCGACUCCAUGAAGUCGGAAUCGCUAGUAAUCGUAGAUCAGAAUGCUACGGUGAAUACGUUCCCGGGCCUUGUACACACCGCCCGUCACACCAUGGGAGUGGGUUGCACCAGGAGUAGAUAGCUUAACCGCGAGGGGGGCGUUUACCACGGUGUGAUUCAUGACUGGGGUGAAGUCGUAACAAGGUAACCA
rnacentral:rRNA from 1 species